rnacentral:lncRNA from 1 species
GAAAUAUUUAGUAGUUUAAAUAGUUAAAAUGUGUGCUAGUUAUUUUUUCCAGUUGGAUGCACCUGUGCCAUUUAUAGGUAAUAUCCAGCUGUUCCUUCCAUAAUAGGAUAUGAGACUAUCAUGCAUCAUCAUUUCAUCCAGUAGAUCAUAUGAACAUCAUGUCUUGUUAAACGCCCGAUGACAAUGCCUGAUUAGUUGAACCACCACAGUCGCCUCUAUCUGAGCUGUCAAAUGUGGAGGAGAGCUAAAAAUAAAUCGCCGUCACUGCCUGAACGGUGUACGGCGCGUGAAGAGAUUUAUCCCAUUGAUCUACAAUGCCAAGGGGGCGGGGCCAGCGGUGAUUGCGUCAUAAAGGAGCCGAAGAUGGCUUCACGAUGCGCUACGGCAGUGCUUAGAUGCGUCAGCGCUCAGCUGUCAGUACACACAUUUAUAUGAAAAGGAAGGAAGGGUAAAGAAAUACUGGGAGGAAGGCAGGCGAGCCGUUCAGAUUUAUGUCUCCAGCCAGUUUAUGCUGCACUUGGGUUGUUUAACAGUCAGGGACAAUGGGUUCGACUACAGAUGAAGAAUUUAAAGAGAAAUUACUAUGGAACGUCAAAAGAGAAGUGAAGCAGAUUAUGGAGGAGGCGGUGACCAAGAAGUUUGUACAUGAAGACAGCAGCCACAUUAUUGCACUUUGCAGUGAGUACAGUUUGAGAGAAGAGGUGUUUUGUAUCACACAGGCUAAUGCUGAUGUUUUUAUGCCUUGCAAAAAUAAGCAUUUGCUUUUCUGUGACAUAUACAAUUUUGUUGAUUGUGCUGAUUUUAAUUUCACCAAGUUAUUUUGCUGGUUAACAUAAAUAUGGUUUGAAUUGGUGAGAACAAUUUGUGAUAAUCUUCCAAGCAUCAUUUUGGUUGAAAAUCAUUAACAAAUUAUCAUACUGUAGAAAAAGUGAGUUUAGAGCUGUUGUGGAGUUAAAUUUUAAAUUCACAAUUUCCCAACGAUUUUUGUGAAUUUAAAGUUAAAGUAUCAAUUAAUUAAAAC